AUUGAACGCUGGCGGCAGGCCUAACACAUGCAAGUCGAACGGUAACAGGAAACAGCUUGCUGUUUCGCUGACGAGUGGCGGACGGGUGAGUAAUGUCUGGGAAACUGCCUGAUGGAGGGGGAUAACUACUGGAAACGGUAGCUACUACCGCAUAACGUCGCAAGACCAAAGAGGGGGACCUUCGGGCCUCUUGCCAUCGGAUGUGCCCAGAUGGGAUUAGCUAGUAGGUGGGGUAACGGCUCACCUAGGCGACGAUCCCUAGCUGGUCUGAGAGGAUGACCAGCCACACUGGAACUGAGACACGGUCCAGACUCCUACGGGAGGCAGCAGUGGGGAAUAUUGCACAAUGGGCGCAAGCCUGAUGCAGCCAUGCCGCGUGUAUGAAGAAGGCCUUCGGGUUGUAAAGUACUUUCAGCGGGGAGGAAGGGAGUAAAGUUAAUACCUUUACUCAUUGACGUUACCCGCAGAAGAAGCACCGGCUAACUCCGUG
rnacentral:rRNA from 1 species